GUGUCAGCCGCCGCGGUAAGACAGAGGUGCCAAGCGUUAGGCGGAAUCACUGGGCUUAAAGCGUGUGUAGGCGGAUCGUUAAGUACCUUGUGAAAUCCCACGGCUCAACCGUGGAACUGCUGGGUAUACUGGCGAUCUUGAGCCACCUAGGGGCGAGCGGAACAAGCGGUGGAGCGGUGAAAUGCGUAGAUAUCGCUUGGAACGCCAACGGUGAAAACAGCUCGCUGGGGGUGUGCUGACGCUGAGACACGAAAGCCAGGGGAGCGAACGGGAUUAGAUACCCUAGUAGUCC
rnacentral:rRNA from 1 species